UCGCGUCACCCUCCCGUACGACAGAAAGAGCGCGGAGGGGCGACCCUCUAGGUUCCUCCGCCGCCGCCGGCACUUCAACCCACUGUACCUCCACCGACGCGUCCCCCUCCGUCAAGCUCCUCAGGCGCCUCCUCCGGUCCCGGCGCCCCCAAACCGGCCAACGACGAUCCCACUGAAAACGCCCGCCUUUUCCCUGGGCAACUUGGCGGCGCUGCUGAGCAGAGCGAUUCCGCUGGCAAGAGGAAGCAGUAGCCAACCCAGUCCGUCGACUGCACCUUCCAGAGGCACCUGGGUGGACCAGAAGGUUAAGAGUGGACAUGCCCCUCCGGAUAGGGCACUCUGUCCAGGUAGAGUCACUUCAUUAGAAGAAACAAUCAGGAGGUUUGCUGACAAACCCCCAGAGAUAAAGAACACUGAAUUUUGGCAGAGAUUGGGAGAUUAUAGUGAAGCCAGAGAUUGGGGUGAGUUUUGACUCACUCAGGGAACCAUACGAUUUCUAUAACCUGUAAUCUUAGGAUCUUGGAUUUGGUAUACAAUAUGGCAAGAGCCGGCUGAACGUCGAGCGGACAAAGUAUAUGCAGGAGAUCGUUUGUGGAUGCUCGGGGAGGCCUGAGCAGCAGAAUAACCGGUCUUGCCGGUGCGAGUGCCCGGCAAUGAUCAGAUUACUUACAGCUGCAGACAAUGAUGGUUCAUUGCUAACACAGGUCAAGCCACAACCAUUGGUUGUCUCUUACUUGCGGUGAGAAAGUUCAUUGGUCAUCGCGGUGAGAAAGUUCAUUGGCCAUCGCACAAGCACAAAGGAUUUGGUGAAGCAGCUUAGGGUGAACAAUGUGAACUUGAACAAGGUGUACAACAUAGUUGGCAACUUUUUGGUUCAACCCAGAAUGUGCCUUUCACAAAAGUGGACGCUGCGCAAUCUGUGUGGCAGGAUAAGUCGAGACCAGGCUGACGAUGAUGUACAUAAGACACUAGCUGUGUUCAAAGAGAUGCAGUGGAACGAUCCAGAAUUUACCUACCGAGUACGACGUGAUGAGGAAAGCAGGAUCAAGCGAGAUAACUAUGUUGUUUUAUGUGCAAAUUUUAGAUCAAGCGAGAGCCAUGGAAGUUGCAAUCAAGACGGAGUUACCCGAGACUGUGCACACCUACUCGGCGGCCCCGAUGAUACGGUCAGCGGUGCGCGUGGCGCUAUCUCCACGAGGAUGUUCUUCCUCCACCGACUCCCUCACGCACUCCGGUGGAAGCUGCCCCAUCAUUGGGUCUGCCGUUUCUCCACAAUAUCCCCCACGAGCUGAAGAUGUUCUUCCUCCCCUGCCUCCCUCGAACACUGGAGCUGUUGUUCGGUCGCCGUCCACAUCUGCAAGGCCCCCGUCAAGAUCCUCCAAGAACGAAGGGCUCCAAGAGGAACUAGCUGCAACUACGAGUGAAAAGCCUCAUCAAGAUCCUCACCAAGGUAUUCCCAUCAGAAUUAUGGAAUUGUUGAAAUGCUAAUAGCCUAAAAAAAUUCAAUUACACAUGCUUUAGCCUCAAACGGCACUCAAAGAUGUAACCUGUACGUGCUUUAGCAAAUACGUAUCCUUUUUCAAGUGCCACUACAUGCUUAAGAAUUACUCUGAACUUCUGUAGUGUGAAUUGCGUAGGUAGUGUCUGUUUUCAGCAAACAACCUUGUUUAUGUGAUGGUUCAUUUUUCAAAUGAUAUUAUUCUUGACUAACUUGUUUUGUAGAAACAAAUGAUGCUGCAGUCACAAGUCUUAGAAAAAUUAACAAGGCAGUAUUGGUGGUUUGUGAGAACUGAACCUUUGAAUCCAGUGAGAACCAGGAUGCUGGUAUUUUGAGUCCAGUGAGAACUGAACCUUUGAAUCCUUUUUUCAGGGCACUAUUCAGAUUCUUCUGAUAAGGCCUAGUUAGUGCUAAAAGCAUACAAUCAUGUUGGGGUACUUGUCAUAAAGUUCCUGUCAUGUCACUCCAUUCAGAAAACAAUUGCAGAUUUAUACAGCUGAUCAGACCGUAAACUUUGCUAAUUAUUUGCGGAGCAACAACUUGACAGCUUGCUCUUUCCUUGAUCAUUCCUUUCCAAUUGCUCAGGAACUUGCACAACAUACAGUAGAUUUCUAUCUCGUGUCUUACUCUAGUUUUCUCUAUGCCUUCUUAAAGCUGCUGGGAAAUUGUCAAACGGAUAGCUAACUUAGAAAAUAGUAAGAUUGGAAUCAGUACUUGCUAAUGCCUGACGCUUGAGGGGGAGACUGGUGUUCUGAACUUAAUUGCUUUUUGCACCUAACAGGUAAAUAUGUGAGAAGUUUAACUGUCCAUAUCAAUCUUAGUCAUACUUGUAAAAGUCUUUUUCAGGUAGUAGCCAUAUUAAACCACACAUCCUGUUCUCUUCAAGAACGGUGCAAACCUUUCAAAUUAUACAGCAGCCAAUCUAAAAAAAGGAUAUACACGAGUUAACUUAUAAGAUCCUAGUACACGUCAUUCAAAACUCUUCUGCUAAUUAAACUGCCUUUUGUGAAGACAUAGUAUAGUCAAGCAUUCAUAUUGUGAUUUCCAUGUACGGAAUUAUCUCUGAAUUCAUAUCCUAGAAGAGAAACGAUCUCCAAACCUCAUGCUCGAAUUAAAUUUGGUUUGCACAAGUAAUUAUUUACCAACUGGAUUCAAAUAUGUGAGCAUGACCAUUUAUGUACAAUAUUUUCGAUUAUGCCAAUGACCAUCUGCAAAUGCAUUAGUUCUCUUGUUCAUCUCACUGACGAUCAACCUAUUUCCGUUUUGUGUCAGGCCAAGUCUUCAAAGCAAAACAGCAGAAAGCAGGAAACUAAGCAGUAGUUUGUAAUCCUGUUGAGUUUACCGAAUGGGCAUCAUGUUUACCGCAUGUUGAGUUCAUCAUGUUUCUGAAUUUUGAGGUUUCUCUCGCUGGACACUGAAUCUUGUGUCUUGUGUCGUUCUGUACACUUUCAGAAUCUUGUGUCUUUCUGAAUGAGCAAGAAAGCAAGCAAAACGUUGAAUUUA